UACGUAUGGUGCAAGCGUUAUCCGGAUUUACUGGGUGUAAAGGGAGAGUAGGUGGCAUGGCAAGUCAGAAGUGAAAGCCCGGGGCUCAACCCCGGGACUGCUUUUGAAACUGUCAGGCUGGAGUGCAGGAGAGGUAAGUGGAAUUCCUAGUGUAGCGGUGAAAUGCGUAGAUAUUAGGAGGAACACCAGUGGCGAAGGCGGCUUACUGGACUGUAACUGACACUGAGGCUCGAAAGCGUGGGGAGCAAACAGG
rnacentral:rRNA from 1 species